rnacentral:lncRNA from 1 species
GGGCUGCACCUGCAGCAUAUGGGGGUUCCUGGGCUAGGGGUUGAAUCAGAGCUAUAGCUGCCAGCCUACGUCACAGCCAUAGCAACAUUGGAUCUGAGAUGCAUCUGAGCUCAUUAUCUCAGCUGGCCUUCACCCUGAGCCUGACCGAGAUGGCCUGACCCUUGCUGGGACAGCCCACCCCCAGGCCUGGACCAUCCUCUGAACAGCAGGGCUGAGAUGCACUGACUUGGAUCGUCGCAGAUGCCAAAGAGCCACCCUGGUGAUUUUCACAGGACGGUGCAUCAAUCCCAUUCUCGAUUGUGAGACAUGUGUUUAUGAGUCCAUUGAUCCAGCUCUCUGGUUCCUCCAGGGAUGGAAGUUUUUUGGGGGGCACGUGCACGCACACACACACACACACACACACACACGCGCGCGCAACCAGGCACAUGGGCUGUUCAGGUCCUACAUCCCAGCAUGUACCCAGGGCCAAUUUAAUUUUUAAAAAUUCCUGGAGUGGAGUUCCUGUCAUGGCUCAGUGGAAACGAAUCUGACUUGUAUCCAAGUCAUGAAGACACAGGUUCAAUCCCUGGCCUCGCUCCGUGGGUUAAGGAUCUGGCGUUGUCAUGAGCUGUGGUGUAGGCUGCAGACAUGGCUCGGACCCCGUGUUGCUGUGGCUGUGGCAUAAGCUGGCAGCUGCAGCUCUGAUUCAACCCCUAACCUGGGAACUUCCAUGUGCCACAGGUGCGGCCCUAAAAAGACCAAAAAAAAAAAAAAUUAAAAAAAAAUUUCUGGGGCUAUGUCAAUACCUCUUACAUGGUCUGGGGUUAGGGCAUCAGUUUGUGGGGCUGGCCUCACCAACUGAGCUAAAUGGGGCCAAUUUAUUGUUUUCUAGGGUGGAUCCCGGGCUUGGUUAAAUUUUCAAAAUUGUUCCAUGAAGCAGUUUAUUCAUAUCAUGAUCCCUGGCUGCCUCACAGCCACACUUGAACUUAGAACACUGAGAUUUUUCACAUCAGAAAUGAGGACCGUCUACCACAUUAGCAAAGAUUUAAUAAAAUUUCAUAGUUUUCUACUGGGAACAUAAAUUGGAACAAUACUUUGAGGAAAUAAUUUCAUAAUAGAUAGCCACACUUGAACGUGUUUAUACCCUCUGACCUAGAAACACCACUGCUGGGAAUCCAGCCAAAGGAAAUAGUCUGAAAUACAGAGAUUUUAAAAAAGAAGAAAAGCAAAACCUAAUACACAAUCAUUUUCAUAUUAGCAUUAUUUAUCAUUUGAAAAUGAGAAGUAACUUAAAUAUAAAACAGUAAGGGUGUGGCUAAGUAACUUAUGACACAGCACAUGAUAGAAUAUUAAGCACAUGUUUAAAAUUACGUUUACGAAGAGUUUAUAAGUGGGGAAAUUACUUGAGUUACAAGGUUUCCUACCUGUAUAGAUAUAUGAUCUUCCUUCCAGCCCAUCCAACGAAAAUGCACACACACACACACACACACACACACACGUGUGCGUGUGCAAAUAGCACGUGGACUGUUCCGGUCUUACAUUCCUAUUAAAUAUAUCUACAUAUAUAUAUUAUUAUCUACAUGUAAUCUCAACUAUGGAAAAUAAUUAACAUAAAAAUUUUAAAGGAAAUAUUAACAACCAUUGUGGGGCGUUGGCACUCUGGGUACCUACUUUUAUCGUAUUCAUUUCUGUAUUUUCCAAAUACAAUUAAAAUUUUUCAUUUGGGGGAGGCCAUGCCCAUGGCAUGUGGAGGUUCCAGGGCCAGGGAUCGAACCUGUGCUACAGCAGCAACCCAAGGUGCUGCAGUGACAACACGGGAUCCUCAAUUCACUGUGCCCCAAGAGAACUCCUAAAAUUUUUCAUUUUAAAUUCAUUUUGUUAAACUUUGUGGACCAAAAAAAGUAUGUUAGGGGAGAGGGGAAGGGCCAGUCACAUCUCUGCCGCCGCCGCAUCGUCAGGUGCCCUCAGGGAAGUGAUGUGACCUUUCUGUGUCCCCCUCUCCCCACCCAGCACCCUUCCCCCAUCUCCGUAAUGAGUAUAGAGGAUCACAUGAUCCCUACCGUCCAUUCUGCUCGCAGUCUGUGUCUCAAAAUAUCAUCCCACUGUGUUUGAGAAUGGAAUCUCAAAAAGGGGCCCAAGAGGCGUAAACAACUUACGAGUAAAAUACUAUAAUCAUCCUAACAAGCCAUGGCUUGGAAGGGCCUUCUAGAAGAUGCAGCUGUUCUUUUACAGUCAGCGGAGGAACAUGCUGACAUGAUGUCCUUGGGUUUGGACAUCUGGAGCCAAAGAACAGAAAGAAGGGGGUCGCUGGCAGCUGUGCUGUGAAGCCAGGAAUGGUGGCUGGAGGCGGGGGGGGCACUCAGCCCUGCAUCUCCAUCCCUCCAACCACCAGCCCGGCUGUUGCUAAUCUCCCAGGUCCAGGGCAGACGGCAUGAUGACCCACGCUGGGCGAGCAGGACACAUCUCAUAUCCUGCAACUUCCUCUGGCAGCUCCAGCCCCCAGCACCCUCCCCUGGACCAAAGCCCAGGGAUGUCUUUAUCUGUUUUGAGCCUGGGGGCCCCUCCUCACACACUAGGAUGGUCUCAGGUCUCUGAGUCCCAUUUCCUCAGUGGCAUCAUCUGGCACCCCUUGACGUCUGCCCCUCUCUGGACAAGCCCACAGCACCUGGGUGGUCCACAGAGGGGGAGAAAUGAGGAGAAACCACAUACUGAACUAGCUCCUCACCCUGCACCACAGGAUGAAUGGCUCUCAGGUCUCUUCCAAGGUGGGAUUCUACAACUGGAUCAUCUCACGUGAUCGUGUAGUGAUCUCUUGGGAUGUGCAGGGGGAUUGGUUCCGGGACCCUGUGGGUACCAAAAUCCAUGGAUGCUCAAGUCCCUUACAUGCAAUGGCACAGUACAGCCGACCUCCUGUAGCCCCAGGUCCUGCAUCCGCAGAUACAGAGGGCCGACGGCAUCUCUCCUCUGGACCUUGACCAUCUGUCCAAAGGCUCAGAGAAAACAGGACUUGCUUCUAGUCCUGCCAUUUGGCUGGCACGCACCAGGAAGGAUGGAAGUUAAAACAGUAACAUAUCUCCAGGGGUUGGUAAAUGGCCACUGCCUUCUGACCCUUCCCUGGCUGCCUCAGCAGCCCAGGCUCUUCCGCCAGGACACUGCCCAAGGACCUCCCUAAGAUCUGUCACCGAAAGGGUUAAAAAUGCCCCGCCCUGCAGGGGACCUUCAGGAUCUUGGCGCAGCAUUAGGAUUUCUGCCCUUGGUGGAAAGGCCUGGAGUCUCACCUCUCCUGCUCCCUCUUCCUGAAUUGAGUCCAUUGGGUUGAGAGGAGCUGAGAUUGUAAAUCUCUGCCAGGAGAGUGGACUGAGCUCACCAGGGUGGUUUAGAAGGGUUUGGGACUGGCGUGUGCACACUCUGGUGUCUGGAAUGGAUGGCCAACGAGGACCUGCUCUAGAGCACAGGGAACUCUACUCACUAUUCUGUGAGAACCCACAUGGGGAAAGAAUCUGAAAAAGACAGGACGUGUGUAUGCGAAUAACAGAAUCGCUCUGCUGCACAGCAGAAAUCAUCACAACACUGCACCUGUCUCCACGUCAGGAAAACGUCUAGAAAUCAAAGACACAAGAGUAAUAAGGACAAAGGUUGGUUUGGAUCACCCUGAUGGGGUGGGGGAGACGGCAAGGGGUGGGCAAACGGGUAGGGAAAAGGGGGCUGUGACCAUCUGCUCUGCGCCCCUGCUUUGUUUGCACGGCUCACAUCUCCUUGAGCUGGGUUGAAAGUCCUACUGAGUGAGCCAAGACCACAGUAUCACAUGGCAUCACGGUGCUUCCUUCCGGGCUCUUCAAGCAGCUACUGAGCAGUGAUGGGGUCUCCCACUUGGCCUCUUCAGAAGGCAGAAGGAAGCGGAGACACUUUUCCUGGCUCCAGGCAGAGGGAAACACAGAGACGCUGAGCAGGUAGCUUCGGGUCACCUCGUCUAU